CCUAAAAAAUGAGCAAAAUAUCUAUGUACCAAACAGAUAGGAAGAUUGUCAGAAUAUCCGUUGUCUGUAAACUGCAAGGAGGCUUAAAGUCUUGAAGUGUUUUUACUUCCUGGAAUAAAAUGUCUUCUAUUCCCUCUAGAUGCCCUGGCCCUUCAGAUGUUUUCUUGGACUGCAUCUCACAUCAUCCAUCACUGCUGGCUAUGGGAGGUAACAGGACAACAAGGAAUAUGGCUGCAGAAAAUCUACAAAAUCGAAAAGAUCUCCUCAAAGAAAAAAACACUCAGUACAGGAUUAAGGAAAUAACAUAUACCUGUGCUUCCAUCAAAUCCUCCGACAGCAUACAGAAGUCCAUUCAAUACAGCAGCCCCCAAAGUGCUUCUUCUGUCUUGCAUAUUUGCAACACUUGACCACUUGUUCUUCACAGGAUCAAAAGAAUCAACUGUACGGACCCUCAAGGACCCAUUGAAUCCACCAACAGCAAAGACAAGGCCACUCAUGUAUACCACUCCUGAAAAAGAGAAUGCUCUAUCUCAUUGCUUAUAUUUAAGUUUUUAGUCCCUGCAAAGGACAUUUUUAAAUGUUAUAACCCUGGUGAUAUGUGCUCAUGCAAUGUAUGAAGUCAUGGAGCUACCUGCUCUGCAUCUUCUGGAAGGCAACUCAAGGACUUGGUGCCAACGUUCUUCUUUAAAGUCGUAACAUUCUACACUGCGGAUAGCCUUUGGUGCUUGUCCUCCAACCACCACCAUCAGCUUCAAAGGAAGGAACAACAAAUAAUUCACCCAAAUGCUUGUUUGAAUUGAUGACAACAACAAAUGAGAAGUUAUGCUCUCUUAAAAGAGCAACCAACAUGACUAAGAAUCAUAGGGGAGCUGCCAUUAUAUCUCUCAGGAAUGCCGUGUCUGUUAUCACAAUGUGUGAGGAGCUUAAAUCAGACUGAAAUGCUCGGCUCCAGGCGUGAGCAUGUGGAAAUCAUGACAGUUGCCCUGCCACAUCACAAAAGGGUACAGGUGGCACAAAACCUUCUUGCUAUAGUUCAUCUAUAGUUGAAGUACAAUAAAGCUGUCAAACUCAUUUUCAAAGGGCCACAUCAGCUUUAUUACCGCCUUUAAAGGGCCAUUUGUGAUUGUAAGAUUGUAUAAAUAUAACUAUGUUGCUCUGGCAU